UUCAGAUUUCAGACUUCUUCCUGUCAUCUUCACUUCAGCUUCUGCCCAAGACUCUCCAACUCCAGCUCCAACCCCAACACCUGGUCUUGAUGCUGUUGCAGCACCACACUGAUGAUGAAAUAUCAUUGUUUUAGAGGUCUGCUGUACUUAAUAAAGAUGUAUUUUUGUGGACUAAAAAUGUAAGAAGAUGAAUCAGUAUGAAACUUACAGUGGCUUGCAAAAGUAUUCAUUCCCAUGAACCGUUUCACAUUUUGUCACCUUACAACCACAAAUUUAAAUGUAUUUUAUUGAGAUUUUAGGUGAUAGACCAACACAAAGUAGCACAUCAUUGUGAAGUGGAACACAAAUUAUACAUGGUUUUCAAAAUUUUAAUCAAACAAAAAUCUACCUCAGUACCUUAUUUUUCGCACUAUAAGGCGCACAAUCAAGGAAAGUCUAAUUUUGGUUUAUUUUCAUUCACAUUUUAAGAGACACUAUAAGGAACUUUUAAUUCAGCAGGUCUCGUCGCUGGGUGGUGGUGCAGAGUAGCUAACUAAGUUAAAUAAAGCUUAGCUAAGUUAACAAAACUAUAAUAAAAAAAACUUUCUUUUAAAGUCAAACGAGCGCUGGAUGUAAAUUUACACAGAUUUCUAUCCGCUUCCGUUUAUUUACAGUAAGCUUAGAUUUCCUGAAUUUCUUCAGCACUAUGCAUUAGCAGCUAACCGCUAGUGGCUAAUGCCACCUGACAGCACUACAUUGAGAAACCCUAAGUGUUCUGGUAAGCCAUGGUGAUAUUAGCUAGAGGUUCGUGCAACGUAACUAAUGCUAAUACUGCUCCAGUCUCAGUGCUGGAGAACUAAACUGAAACUCCUGUAUAACUCUGUACUAGGGGUGGGUGAUAUGGCUCUAAAAUAAUUGCGAUAACGAUAUACUUGGCGAUAUAGGAAAACAGAAAAAUAAUUCAUUCAUUUCAGGAAUAUAGUAUAAUAGUAUAACAGUACAAUCAUAAUGUGGCAAAAUAAAUAAUCUAGCAUAAAAUAAUAUAAUGCAGCAAAAAAUAUUGCAGAAUAUUUUCAUGCAUACAAACUGCAAACUAAAACAAUUAUACAAUAAAUACACCUAAAGCUUCACAGUAAAUAAUAGACUACUUUUAAGUCAAACCAUCCCUAUUAUCACAAUAUGGAUUUUUAAUAUCAUGAUAUUUCUGUGUCACGAUAUUUUGUAUACGAUAUACUAUUGCCCACCCCUACUCUGUACUUCAGUGGAGUGGCUUUACUGCUCCUUAAUACCUGACUGAUAGAAUUCAUACAUAAGGAGCACCAAAUUAUAAGGAACACAGAUGAUUUUUUGGGAAAAUUAAAGGAUUUUAAGUGCACCUUAUUUGCAUCUUACCUUGUAUUUGUAUGUAUGUCACGUGUGAUUGUAUGUGUUAAUAAAGGUCCAUUCAAUUUA